GGUCCACCCUGGGCCGGGAUGUGACACAGAGCGUGCGUCUAUCCGCCUCCUUGAUCAAGAUUGUGUAUGACUCGCGACAUCGUGGAGUGGGAACCUCACAGCAGCAUAGCAGCAUCGCUACUAGCUGUGGUUAGUUAUUCGGUAUUGUUGUCCUAUGCAGUGGGAGUCUUGGGCACAAAUUCCCGAGGAGAUGAAGAAACUGGUGUGAGACAAGUUGUCGGUUAAUAAAUUAAUUUUUAGGCUUUAUCAUUUUUUAAAUUUUGUUUACAAAUAUUAUAAACCAAAGUAUAUUAUCUUAAUCUUAUUAAAUUUCUUACUAUUAUUUUAUUGUUUUUCAUAUUUGUAGGUCAAUUAUGAUCUUCAAGACAUAUCCUUUGAGGCCAUGGCCUACUUAGAGGAGACCUUAGCAACCCGGUAUAAAAAUUGGAAGAGCGAUCUUCACGCGCAUUUUAAGCUAUGGGAUGAUUCGGAGAUUGCUCGUCUAGAGGGUUGCCCAGCUGAGUUGGAGGACCGGCCAGAGGAUUGGGAGUAGCUCUACAAACAUUUUACAGACCCAAAAUUUGUGAAGAAAUCUGUUGCUGGCAAGAAAGCUCGGGAGUCAAAGACACUUCUCCACCAUUCCGGUUCGAAUCCUUUUUCGUAUAGGCUUGAGGCACAACGUCAGGAGGGUUCUAAGUUCCCAGAGAUUGACCUGUUCAGGGACGUAUACAUUCGACCCGGCAAUGAGACCACUAAGCAGCUUCAUGCUACUAUGGUGGAAAAACACAUUGUUGUUCUCCAAGAAGCAAUAUCACAUCUUCCACCAGAGACCCCGAUCGAGGAUGUCAUUGUACCCGAGGAUGCAGGUCUUCAGAUCCUGACUGAGGUUAUGGAUCCGAAGUUCGGUUGUCGUCAUGGCAAAGUUGUUCGGUGUAUAGGGAAGGCACGGGUUUGUGAGACGGGUGCCUCCUCUUCCAGAUCGACCACAUGAGAGGUCAAUACCCCUGAAAGAGGAAGUGACAACCCUAAAAGGUCAGCUUGCGGCCCAGGGCGAGCAUAUGAGUAUGAUUGUACGUGAUUUACAGAUGUCUGACCUCCAAAUCCUAAUGCUAGCACUUGAUCUUUCUCCACCUUCGACUUCCCAGCCACUUUGCCUAGUCGAUACCCAUUAGCCUAAUGUAUCAAACCUAAAAGACUACUUCUUGUAGCUUUUUCUUUUUUGUUUGGACAUCUUGUAUGUACAUUUUCA